rnacentral:misc_RNA from 1 species
GGUCUGCAACCCUCUAAGUAACCCUUUUUCAAAGAACUAAACCCAACAUAAAACCUUUUGAAUACUGGCUGCCCUCUAGGUCCAGUAGCAUUAGUUAGCAACUCAAACCUUCCUUCCCUGUCAAAAGAUUUCAAUUCAGCCAUGUAUGAUCCUAACUUAGCAUAAUGAGCCUUUAAAAUCCCCCUUAUUAGCUUUAAGGCUCUGGUUCUUGCCCUAUAACAAACCCACUUUGAUACACUUAGCCUAUACUUUUCUUGUAAAUCAAACAUCAUAUCAUCAAUUCCAUAAUCUGGAUUUCUCCUAAAUCUCUCCAUAAACUCCUUUGCAACCCAUUUUGCAUUAGCCAGUCUGUUACAUAAGCUCUUAGAACAAUUGUGGUCCCCAUUGUAUCUCUUCACUUAGAAUGUCCUUUCAUGUUGCAAAUUAACUACAUAAAUAGUCCAUUGGUAGUUACCAUCACAUACUGCCUCCAUCCUUAUUUCACAAGUCCUUUUCUGUCCAAUAUUAUAUCCAUUGCUAAUCCCAUAUAGUUUGACACAUUCCUGAAAUUGUUUGGCAUUCUCAAAUAUCAUUCCAAUAUCAAAUUCAAACUUAGUAUGAUCACAACUAGGAUUAUACACACCAAAUUUUUUCCUUUUCCUCUUAACAGUUUCUCCCAAAUCAUGCUCAUCACUACUUUAUGGGGUAUCAAACCCAUCAUCUUCACUAUCUUUAUAAUCACUAACAUGUUCACUAGUAGCCAAAUUCCUAUCAA